GUGGGGAAUCUUGCGCAAUGGGCGAAAGCCUGACGCAGCCAUGCCGCGUGAAUGAUGAAGGUCUUAGGAUUGUAAAAUUCUUUCACCGGGGACGAUAAUGACGGUACCCGGAGAAGAAGCCCCGGCUAACUUCGUGCCAGCAGCCGCGGUAAUACGAAGGGGGCUAGCGUUGCUCGGAAUUACUGGGCGUAAAGGGCGCGUAGGCGGACAGUUUAGUCAGAGGUGAAAGCCCAGGGCUCAACCUUGGAAUUGCCUUUGAUACUGGCUGUCUUGAGUACGGGGGAGGUGAGUGGAACUCCGAGUGUAGAGGUGAAAUUCGUAGAUAUUCGGAAGAACACCAGUGGCGAAGGCGACUCACUGGCCCGUUACUGACGCUGAGGCGCGAAAGCGUGGGGAGCAAACAGGAUUAGAAACCCGUGUAGUCC
rnacentral:rRNA from 1 species